CCUACGGGUGGCAGCAGUGAGGAAUAUUGGUCAAUGGACGAGAGUCUGAACCAGCAAAGUAGCGUGAAGGAUGACUGCCCUAUGGGUUGUAAACUUCUUUUAUAAAGGAAUAAAACGAGGCACGUGUGCCUUUUUGCAUGGACUUUAUGAAUAAGGAUCGGCUAAUUCGGCGCCAGCAGCCGCGGUAAUACGGAGGAUCUGAGCGUUAUCCGGAUUUAGUGGGGUUAAAGGGAGCGUAGAUGGGUUGUUAAGUCAGUUGUGAAAGUUUGCGGCUCAACCGUAGAAUUGCAUUUGAUACUGGCAGUCUUGAGUACAGUAGAGGUAGGCGGAAUUCGUGGUGUAGCGGUAAAAUGCUUAGAGAUCACGAAGAACCCCGAUUGCGAAGGCAGCUUACUAGACUGUGACUGACACUGAUGCGCGAAAGUGUGGGUAUCAAACAGGAUUAGAUACCCUUGUAGUC
rnacentral:rRNA from 1 species